AUUUUCGAUUUGUUCGUUGGUGAGUCAGCAGUUAAAAUUUUCGUCUUUUGUUCAGUAAGGUUUUUUAUUACUUUUGGGUUAUCAAAAACGCUUUCGUCGUUUGGUAAUGGGUUUGGAAAUUAUGAACAUGAAAGGAAACUAUCAGAAGGACAUUAAGAACACGCCUGAAAAUAAGAAAUGGUCCAAAUCCAAGAGGAGAACAUAUCUGCGUCCAAAUAUGGGGAAAGCCUGUGUGCUAACACACAGUUGCGGGACAACACGACGGAUCCGAUCAUCCAGGAGGUCUGCGCUGAGUCCGCACUGUGUCGACAGUGUUGCUGCUUGGAAGGACCACAAUCGUUCUGUACCAUCUGGUGCCAUGGCACCGAGAAACACCACACAGUAUUUAAUGGACUUGGUGUACGCUGAGCGCCUGGAUGUUUCAAUUGAGGCAUGUGAUGUAAGCCCUGAUUUCUCAAAGCAGAAUCGUGUUUCAUUUUAUGAGACUAUUUUCUCAUGGUCAGACUCUGAUUUCGACAGAUCUUUGGAAUUUCAACAGCGGGACUUCGAGAACGAAUUCUUCAGGAAUGAAAUCUGACGUUGUUACCGAAACCUGACUUGAUAUCGUCGCAAGGAGACGACCGGGCAGCUGUGAGACCAUAGACCGUAAUAUCAUUGCGCAGACUCCAUCUCAGGGAGGCAGGACGCUCUGCGUCACAGCUGCGCGUUGACGUGCCUGUGCCACGCCCCCAGCGCGGUCACUAGUACCACGUGACCAGCAGGUAAACCCGCCCCACUCUUUCAGGUGUACGUGGUGUAAGUGCAAGGUAACGUGCUUUCGCAAUGUAAUUUGUGAAAAUAUGCAUGCACUGUUCUGCCAUCGGUUGCAUGUGUUUGAGAGACUUUUACAGGUUGCUGAUCCUCCUUGGUGGCUCUCAGCCAGACUGUGCAACGCACUCAGCCUUGGGACAAAGCAGCAUAGCUUCCUGGUCAUCAGUGUUGGGUUAUAGCUGUUUGGCAGAUGUAUGGGAGAGAGCAUUGAAAAGGAUUUGAGAGUCAGCAGUCACAUCCUGGAUGACUUGACACAGCCUUCCACCCUGGGGCCAAACACCAGUCAGUAAAAGAAGAUAAUGCGAACGAUGAAAGGGAUGAAGGAUCUUACAUUGAAGGAAAGACCUGAGCCAUAUCUAGAGACCAGAAUAUCAUAGAGACUUCGACAUAUGAGCUUUUCACUUAGCUGUUCUUUCCAUUCGGGGACAUUGCAGAGCCUUGGGAACAGUUUCCAUAGCGACUUCAACUACAGACAAGCAGAGUGUGCUGAGACAGGGAUGUGAACACACUUUCACUCUCGUCUCAUGUGGAGCACUGGCCUGCCUUUUUCCUCUCUUCGCAUUUGUAAAAUGAGCUGCUUUUUUUAGUUUCUGUUUUUUUUUCUUUUUUUUUUCAGGAUGCUGGUUGCAAAAUGAAUUAAAUAAUAC